CCUGCGGCGCGGAUCCCGGCGCCCGGGAAAGGGAAGCGAAGAGGCCUUGCCAAGGGGCAGCAGCGAGCCCCGGAGACCUCGACCGCAUCACAACACCCACAUGGUCACCAGAGUGUGCGCGGCCUACGAGGUGCACGAUGGCACGUGUGACCAGUGCGAACCCGACCAGGCUCCGCGGGCCGACGAAGUGUGCCGAGAAUGCGGCUUCUACUACUGCACCCGCCACGCCGACGAGCACAAGUGGAGGUUCCCCAGUCACCACCUGGUCAAGAACACGCAGGGCCUCCAGGCCAGGACCUCGCGAGCCGGCGGGGAGAGGCCCGGGAAGGAAGAGAUCACGGUCAAGGUGGAGCCGCGGCAGGAGCUAGAAAGCGCCUUGGAGGACAGUGACUCGGAAGGAGGGAGCGAGACCGGUGAGGAGAGUGAAGAGGAGGACAGUGAGCCAGAAAGCGAAAUGAUGGAAGAAGACAUCCAAGGAAGGUCCGUGUCGGAAAGAGAAACUAAGGCAGAAAGCAAAUUGGACCGAAAAAGAGCACUGGAAGAAAAGAGAACGUCCAAGAGGAAGUAUGCAGACCAAGGGCUUGAUUUGAGCCCCUACUCCCAGAAAGACAAGCCGAUCAUCUGUGUCCUUGGGACUCAGCAGGGUCACCAGCUUUACACCUUAGAUGAAGCCUUUGAAGAACUAAUAAGCAAAGACUCCACUAGAGUGAAGGCAGCCAUUAUAGAGUUGGUGGAAAAGUUAAAGCUCAAGAGUUCAGAUCCUAAAGUAACUCAGAAAGAGAUAAAGGAGUUCAUACAAAAAGAAUUUAAGAAAGUUCAGCAAGUGCUUGCUGAUGAGGAGCAUAAAGCUGUGCAUCUAGUGGAUAUCCAGGAAGAAAUGGACAGAGAUCAUCUAACUGAGAUACUGGCAGACCUUCAGUCCCGUAUGGAUAAGCAGAGGACUCAGAUGCCCCAGGCCAAGGAACAACUUGGUACCUCUAACAAAUCAGCUAAGCCAAGGGCAGGGUGUGCUUAGGAAGGACCCAGUGGUGCCAGUGAAUAAGAGAACACAUGAAGGCUUGCCAUCAGAGUAGAAAACAACCCCUUCCCUUGUGUAUAUGUAACGGGCUUCUGACUUCUCUGAAGACUGCCCAGCAACAAAUGUACUCCCACCGGAUAUACCUCUAGAUCCACAGCAGGCACAUAUGUUUCCAAUGAAUGACCAGUUUUAUGCUUACUAUGUACUUCUCAUUCUCUUGUUGCAAUAAGUCAAAUAAAGAGCCUCUUUGAGCAACUAAGAAGGGCCCUUCAGGUAUCCCCUCAAUGGCUGCUUUGAACUUACUCAGGAAAGCGAGCCCCUAUAAUGUUGUGUAAGUCAACAGUAAUACUUCAUUAGUGAUCUGAAAUAAUCAUGAAAGGAAGUUAGAGGGUUUUUGCCUACCUGCAAACAAAAACUCUACUUUGUUCACUCUGAAGCAUGAAACAAACAAGACAAAGUAGGGCUUUACUGACUCAUGUCCACAGUCUCCAUAGUCCAGUUCUACCUUUGUGAAAAUGUGAUGCUGUAAAUUAGGAUGGAUGACCUGAAAAUGAGAUUGGAGAAAGAGUUAAAAGCUAAAAAAAAAAAAAGACAUAUUUUUAGCAUAUGAGGUCAUUCAGGACUUCAGAUUCAUAAUUCAGUGUUGUGGAAAUGAAAGUAUAAUAAUUUUGUCAGCAGAGACUGUCAACUGCAAACUAUCUUAAGAAACCAGAACAAUAUCCCGUUAAAUCAAGCAGAGACUUACUGCAUCCAGGGAGGCCACUUACUACCUCAACAUCAUCCUAGUUGCAUCUUGCAGGAGAGAAGAGGAUUUGAAAAACACUGUUUUUAAGACUGUCGGACCUACUUUAAGGCAUGCCAUGACUUUCAGUGGUGUGAUCUGCUUGGUACUGAACCAAGUUUAUAAUAUAAUAAGACUAAUGCACACAGUAAGGGCAGGAUUUGGAAGAGUCUUUGAGGAGUAAACCAUCAUUUUAUGAACCCAGCUGCAAGAUCUAUUGUUCUGAGAGGAGGUUAUUUACUUAAUGAGAACAAAUAGAUUUUAAAGACAAACUCAGGAGGUUCUGAAAUAAACGAUAGUUACUUGCAGCUUCAUCUUUCUGGGAAGAAUUUCUGUGAUAAUAAAGUCAAGUUAACACCGAGGUUGAAAGUAAAAUCACCUUAAUGUGGACAGUAGACUGGGUACAGAUGGCUUCACGUGUCAACAACAGAUGAUGUUUGAAAUAAAAUGUGAGAAUGAAUAUUGACAGUCCUUAUAUAUCAUUUUGAAGUGUAUG
rnacentral:lncRNA from 1 species